AAACACCACUAAAAUCAUAGAAGUUAGUUGCAAUCUUAGAAUUUUAUGUCGUAAUAAAUGUUGGCCACAAAAUAGCAUCAUUCUAGUCAAAAGCAACAAAGGCCUGAAGCCAUAAAUAUCAGCUAUUACAUUACCAACAACCAUAUUGUAAAGUCAGCAGAGUGAAGACUGCACACAUAAAUUCCCAACCAAAAGCUAAUGUCAUAAUUAAAUUCACCUCAGAUCUAAUAACCUGGGUUCUUGUCAAGGCCAACACAAAAACAAAAACAAAAAAGUUGGCUGAGCUAGAGCACAAAGAUCCAAUGUUCAUCUCUUCCUCUUUGGAGUCUGUUUCCUAGGCCGAACUACAAAUCCAGAGGUUGAGCUUGCUUGGGUGCCAUGAACUUGCCUGUCGAUCUGCUGUUGCUGCACCAUUUCUGGGGUCUUGGCAUUUGGAGGCAAGGGCCUUGGUUCACUUGCUGUUUGCCAGAAAUCUGGCCCCACAAUUGGCUCUAAUGUACAGGAAUACAACUGUAUGAAAACAACAUAUUAGUAAAACAACUUAUUGAUGCUAUUUAAUUUGUGCAACUCCCUAAACAUGGUUAUCAAAGGCAAGUGUCUGAAUUUCCUUAUGUUGCUAUUGAACACUUCACAGUGAUUGUUAACGAACAUGUCACUGUGAACCAGUGUCUUAAAAGCACAUCUUGACCAUUGAUUUUUUGGCUUUGCCAAAAGCCACUCAUGACACUUAGGUGCAAUCUGUCAAAUAUGGAUUUUAUAAGAAACUAUCACUAAAAAGGGGCAUAUAAGAGUGAGCAAGGAUUUAUACCUCCUUCAUCUUGUUCAUAUGAAGAUUAAACUCCCAAUCAGUGCUUGAUCUAGCAGCCUUCCACAUUAGUUGUCUCAAUGCAACUCCUUUGAAUUCUUUGUGCAUAUUUUGAUACAAAUGCAUAACACAGAAUCUGUGUUCUGCAUUUGGUACAAUCUCUUCCAAAGCAUUUAUCAAUCCCUACACAGCAGUAAUAAAUUUAUCAGUCCUUACAUAGUAGUACUAAUGUAAGUAGGUUAAACAUAGAGAGGAAAGAUUACAACCUUCUGUCUGUCAGAGAUGAAGGUCCACUCUCCAUCAUUCUGAAUCUUCAAAUCUUGGCUCAAAAACUCUAAAAACCACUUCCAUGAUUCAGUUGUUUCAGACUCCACAAUUGCCCAAGCAAUUGGGUACAUACCAUUAUUGGCAUCUACACCAACUGCUGCUAGUAGUUGUCCACCAAAUGAACCCUUGAGGUGGCAUCCAUCUAGCCCCACCAGGUGUCUACAAUACUGGAUAAAUGCAUUUUUUAGUGGCCCCAAACAUAUAUACAUUCUCAUAAAUCUCCCACUUUUUGGCCUGGCUCAGGAUCUUCACAUAAAAUCUUCACAGUGCUUUCAGGUAAUACCUUUUUUAUUUCAUAGGCAUAAUCCCAGACCCGGGCAUAUUGUGCUUCAUGAGUGCCAUUUAUCUUCAUAAGUGCUCUUGUUUUAGCCCUAUACACAGCAUGCUUUGACACCUCACAUUUCAAGUCAUUGAAAUUUUUUUUGUGAAAUGCAGUAGUGGGCCAUUCAGGGUUCAUCCGGAUUUCCUUCUCAUAAUGCUCUGCAAGCCACACAGAGUUUAUCUGUUUCUGCUGGAAGGGAUUUUUCAAUUUUAUAGCUCGGAGGCCAUGCCAUCUACUUCAAAUACUGGAGCUUGAAUAUAAUGUUAUAUACAAGAAUAAAAGGAGCUUGAAUCUUCUCAAAUACAUACAACAAAACACAAAAUAACUACACAAUACAUUACACAUCAGAUACACUGAAUAACAGGUCCAAAUGCAUGUAGGUGAGGAGAACAAAAUUAACCUGUAUAUUGUGGACA